rnacentral:lncRNA from 1 species
AUUAAUUUCCACCAAGUAAUAUCUAAUUUUAUAAAACAAAACUAUUAUUUGGCAGUCAAUUUUAAUGAGUCGUACUCAAGAUUUUAUCUUUUAGAUAAGUCCUAUCCAGUAGCCAAUUUUAAUUCAUACCCUCCGAAGGGAGCUCAUCUAAUUGGAGGCGAGGUAUUAAUCUACCUUGCUAUAGGACCAAUGAUGGAGGUUGUGGGCUUUAUGCCGAGUCCUCUCCCACUCAUAUCAUUAACAAUUACCGAUUAAAAAUUUCACUUAUAAUAUAUAGCCACUAUAUAUCAUCAAAGCUUGAAAAGGGAAAAUUCAAGUUGUCGCCUUGCUGAGUUCGAAUGGAGCUUGGAGGAAUUUGGUGAUGGUGGAAGUGUGGAGUAGCAGAUCCGGUCGCAUCGGUGAUGACUACUGGAAAAAUGGGGUUGGUGCAUCUACUUCUGCAGAUUGCAGGCUACACUACAUCUGGUAGUCAGGUGCCACCUGUUUUUCUGAUGUAGGCGUGUGUGAAAAGGGGACACUCUGUGUGUGUGUUUCUUGUCUUCUUGAGAAAUGAAGGGAGGUUAUCGGUUGUGUGUGUUUCUGAGUGAGGGAGGUUGUGCGUGUAUGACUCAUUGUAUCUUAGGUUUCAAUUUCACUAAUUUUUUAUGAUUUUAAAGCCAACCGAUUGGUGUUUCUAAUCCGAUCAUGAUCCGAUUGGGUUAGCAAAAAUGCAUCUAAUUGGGUCUUGUUAACAAUUCGAUCCAAUCUAAACCAAAUAUUUUUUUAAUCAGGUUGGGUUGAGUCGGAUCAGAUUGGAUAUUUUACCCAGCCCUAAUUGUAAUAUUUUCAACCACCACAGUUGGGAUCUAGAAAAUAUUGAUGCGAAUCCCACAAUGAAACUUUGAAUCCCACACUUAAUUUGUAGUUUCAACUUCCCAAGAAAGUUCUAAACAGAUUUAAGACAAACAAAACCUUGACCCAAUGCUUAAGAAAACAUGAACCAAAGGUAUAGAGAAUGGUAUUGACGCCACACUCAAGAAAUAGAUGAGAAGGUGAGUGAUAAGUCUAAAUUUGGAACGCCACAAGAAUGCAAAUUCUUGAUAAGUUCACUAGUUCUCAAAAGAACCAAAGAAAGAAUGAUCUUUCAAAUUCAAAUAACAUUCAUCUCUAAUUUUCUUACAUACCAAGGUUGCUGAAUUUAAAUAGGCUAAAAGAAACCCAAGAUCCUAAAAAUCCAAAUGGAAACAUUGGAACAACCCUCCAAGUAGGUUUGUCAAAAGAUGUUUCAAAAGUCUUCACCAACCCACCAUAAUCAAUGCUAUCUUUGACAAACUUAAUGCUAGCCUACUAUAAUUAAUGCUAUCAUUGACAAACUUAAUGUUAGCCCACCAUCAUUGAUGGUAGACUUACCUUACACAUUGACAAGCUUGAAACAAAACAAACAAAUAAGUUGAAAAACAAAGGAUUCGUUGAAAAUCCCAAGUCUGAACAAGCUGUAAAGAAUUGGUCAUAACUCCUUCUAGAGAACUCCAAAUCCAGCUCUGUAAAAUUUAUUGGAAAGCUAACUUAAUUA